rnacentral:rRNA from 1 species
UACGUAGGUUGCGAGCGUUAAUCGGAAUUACUGGGCGUAAAGCGUGCGCAGGCGGUUCGUUAAGUUCGAUGUGAAAUCCCCGGGCUCAACCUGGGAACUGCAUUGGAAACUGGCGAGCUUGAAUGCGGCAGAGGGGGGUGGAAUUCCGCGUGUAGCAGUGAAAUGCGUAGAGAUGCGGAGGAACACCGAUGGUGAAGGCAGCCCCCUGGGCCGACAUUGACGCUCAGGCACGAAAGCGUGGGGAGCAAACAGG